GCCGAUUAAAAUCUGUUCUCACUGCGUAGCUUUCUUUUAUCUUUGACAGCCGUCACUAUUACCCCCGCUUUACAGAUUAGAGCACUGACACGGAGCGGCCGACCACCCUGCCCCCAGGCCCUCCGCGGAGCUGGGCCUUCCCCCACCCCGCCAAGUCUCGCGGUCUCCGCAGGCGCGGAGAGCACGAGCCUCUCGCCCCUAGCGGAGCAGCUGCGAGCUUCCAGCGGGACAGCAGGUGGUGGAGACCAGCUGCCCCUUCCCAGCCUGCGCCCCGAUGCUGCGCGCCCUGACCGGCGCCCUGCGCCUGCCAGGCCCCUGGAGCCGCCCCCCGACCCGCGGCUGCGCCUCGGACGCGGCGGCCGGGGACCCGGAGAUCCAAGUGCGCGCCCUGGCCGCCGCAGACCAAGGAAUCACUGAGAUUCUGAUGAACAGACCGAGUGCCUGCAAUGCCCUGGGGAAUGUCUUGGUCAGCCAGGCUGGGAAGUAUCUGAUGGUGUUUCCUGUACAGCUGCUAGAAGCUCUGGCCCAGCUUCGGGAGGAUCAGCAAGUGCGUGUCCUGCUCUUCAGAAGUGGAGUGAAGGGUGUGUUCUGUGCAGGUGCAGACCUGAAGGAGCGGGAGCAGAUGAGUGAGGCGGAGGUAGGGGUCUUCAUACACCGGCUCCGAGGCUUGAUGAAUGAGAUUGGUCCCUGCCCUGGUCCUGCCAGGGCCUCUCAGGCCGAGCCCUUCUUCAUCUCCACAGCAGCCUUCCCUGCGCCCACCAUUGCAGCUAUGGAUGGGUUUGCCUUGGGUGGAGGCCUGGAACUUGCCCUGGCCUGUGAUCUCCGAGUGGCAGCAGCUUCCUCAGCUGUCAUGGGGCUGAUUGAGACCACCAGAGGGCUCCUCCCAGGAGCAGGAGGGACUCAGAGGCUGCCUCGAUGUCUGGGGGUGGCCCUGGCAAAGGAGCUCAUCUUCACUGGUCGACGCCUGAGUGGGGCACAGGCCCAGGCCCUGGGGCUGGUGAACCAUGCUGUGGCCCCAAACGAGGAGGGCGAUGCUGCCUACCACCGGGCACUGGCACUGGCCCAGGAGAUCCUACCCCAGGCCCCCAUUGCUGUGCGGCUGGGCAAAGUAGCCAUUGACCGAGGAAUAGAGACCUGAGCUGGGAACUGGAACACAGAGAUGAGUCAGACAUGGUCAUCACCCCCAGUUUGGGGAAGGGGACAGAGAGAGACACAAAUCACUAAUAAAAGGUGGACAUUGCAUCAGGGAUGACCAUUGAAGGGAUAUGCUAUGCCCAGAAUAUUCCCACCCGGGAUCGGCUCGAGGGCAUGGCAGCCUUCAGGGAGAAGCGUCCCCCCCGAUUUCUUGGCGAGUGACUCCCAUUUAACUUUAAGCAUGGAAGAUGUGCCUCUGAAAGGGCAAGAUCUAGAAGGAAAAUUUGCAGUGUGACUAUUCUCAUCAUCUCACCUCUCUGGGCUUCAGUUUCCUCACAAGGACAAUGAUGGGUAUAAAAUGACUGGCAUGGUACCUGGUACUAAGGUGCUGACCCUGCCACCCACAGCUCUCUGUAUCAUUUCUCUCCCUGGUUGGAAAGUCGCUGGGGAUGGAUUUGCUUUGGAGAAAACCUCUCUCUCCCUACUCUACUGAUAAACUAAGGAUUAAAAAACAGACUCUCUGGACCUUUGUAUGGCUGGCUCUCAGGCCUGACCUCUGCCUUUCAGUUAGCAGGUGCUCACCAGAGAUGGCGGGAGGUUAUACAAACAUCCCGAUUGCUUUCUCUGUGCAGUAGAGAUAAUAAGGACACCCUGGCAGUAGUUGAACAGGCAUCAGGAAUGAGACUGCAGAUUCCAGCUCUCUGCCAGUUACUCACUGUAUGGCUCUACUUCCUUAUCUGCAAAAUGAAACUGUUGUGACUUAAAAAAUGUCUCAUGUUCAAUAAACCUGUGUUAUUAUUAGUGUA